AAUAUUCCGCAAUGGGGGAAACCCUGACGGAGCAAUGCCGCGUGAGGGACGAAUGCCUUCGGGUUGUAAACCUCUGUUCUAUGGGAAGAGAAUGACGGUACCAUAGGAGUAAGCCCCGGCUAACUACGUGCCAGCAGCCGCGGUAAUACGUAGGGGGCGAGCGUUGUCCGGAAUUACUGGGCGUAAAGGGCGUGUAGGCUGCUUAAUAAGUUAGAGGUGAAAUUCCGUGGCUUAACCACGGGACUGCCUCUAAAACUGUUAGGCUUGAGUGCAGGAGAGGGAAGCGGAAUUCCUGGUGUAGCGGUGAAAUGCGUAGAUAUCAGGAGGAACACUAGUGGCGAAGGCGGCUUCCUGGCCUGUAACUGACGCUGAGGCGCGAAAGCGUGGGUAGCGAACA
rnacentral:rRNA from 1 species